GUUCGCCUCGGCGACCUCUCGGUCGGCUUCGUCCAGGCGCUGGCCGACGCCCUGCUCGCCGCCGGCGUCGAGCCCGCAGCACUGCUCGAGCAGUACGGCCUCGACCAGCGGCGCCUGGCCGAACCCGGGGC
rnacentral:sRNA from 1 species